rnacentral:lncRNA from 1 species
UUGAGUAAAGUAUAGUUCUUUGUAUUGAUUCUUGCAUUAGCCUUUUGAUGUUACACAAGGGAAGUAUUUAUAGUGAUACAUGUGAAAUGGGAACCCUUGGAUGAGGUGGCACGUGGCCUCAUCUCUUUAAUUCAAACAUCCCAUCCUAGGCAUGGGGCUUGACUUGCUAGCUUGCUGCGCAUUUAUUGCUUUGUGCAGGGCCUCCAUACUAGUGACAAGACUUGACCUUUAUGCUUAUGACAAACGUUCCAUCAAUCAUUCGAAUAAGAUCUUUAUGCAG